rnacentral:rRNA from 1 species
UACGUAGGGUGCAAGCGUUGUCCGGAAUUAUUGGGCGUAAAGAGCUUGUAGGCGGUUUGUCGCGUCUGCUGUGAAAUUUCGGGGCUCAACCCCGAACUUGCAGUGGGUACGGGCAGACUAGAGUGUGGUAGGGGAAACUGGAAUUCCUGGUGUAGCGGUGAAAUGCGCAGAUAUCAGGAGGAACACCGAUGGCGAAGGCAGGUCUCUGGGCCAUAACUGACGCUGAGAAGCGAAAGCAUGGGGGAGCGAACAGG